rnacentral:rRNA from 1 species
GACGAACGCUGGCGGCGUGCUUAACACAUGCAAGUCGAGCGGAAAGGCCCACUUGUGGGUACUCGAGCGGCGAACGGGUGAGUAACACGUGAGUAAUCUGCCCUUCACUCUGGGAUAACGUUCAGAAAUGGGUGCUAAUACCGGAUGUGCACAUGGUCUCGCACGGGGUUGUGUGGAAAGAUUUUUUGGUGGGGGAUGUGCUCGCGGCCUAGCAGCUUGACGGUGGGGUAAUGGUCUAACGUGGCUUUGACGCGUAGCCGGCCUGAGAGGGUGACCGGCAGCACUGGGACUGCGACACGGCCCAGUCCCCUACGAGAGGCAGCAGUGGGGAAUAUUGGACAAUGGGCGGAAGCCUGCCGCAGCAACGCCGCGUGAGGGAUGACGGCCUUCGGGUUGUAAACCUCUUUCGCCAUUGACGAAGCUGCAUCUUUUUGGGUGUGGUGACGGUAGGUGGGGAAGAAGCACCGGCCAACUACGUGCCAGCCGCCGCAGUAAAAC